rnacentral:siRNA from 1 species
UGGGACUUAUUUACAAUGCCUGCC